rnacentral:rRNA from 1 species
UAAGGAAUAUUGCGCAAUGGGGGAAACCCUGACGCAGCAACGCCGCGUGGAGGAUGACACUUUUCGGAGCGUAAACUCCUUUUAUCAGGAAAGAAUAAUGACGGUACCUGAUGAAUAAGCACCGGCUAACUCCGUGCCAGCAGCCGCGGUAAUACGGGGGGUGCAAGCGUUACUCGGAAUCACUGGGCGUAAAGGACGCGUAGGCGGAUUAUCAAGUCUUUUGUGAAAUCUAGUGGCUUAACCACUAAACUGCUUAGGAAACUGAUAGUCUAGAGUAGGGGAGAGGUAGAUGGAAUUCUUGGUGUAGGGGUAAAAUCCGUAGAGAUCAAGAAGAAUACCCAUUGCGAAAGCGAUCUGCUGAAACCUAACUGACGCUGAGGCAUGAAAGCGUGGGUAGCAAACAGG